GAGGAGGCGGCUCAUAAGUUGAGUACGCGCCUGAUAAAUUGCGAGUUUUGACUAUUCGCCUACCUGGAUAGUCAUCGUAGAUGAGUUGUCCCGAAAUGUUUGUAAUAGUUAUUGUGGCUAGAUUUCGGUCAAUUUUUUUUCUAUUUCUACGCAUUCACUUCGCAUUUAUUUUUUCGCUAUUGAGAACAUUCUUUUAUCUUUCACGUCCCCCAGCCACCCGACUUCUAUGCGCUCAAGUGGGUCAUGUGCUUGGUUCCCGACAGGAACCAUGACGAGCUCGGGCACGCAGCUUCUCGUUCGAUGUGGCACGCGCAGCAUUUGCCAGGCUUCCGCAUCGUUACCUGAGCUCCUAGUCCGCGGCCGUACGAGUGUAACGAUCCGAGUGUGACGUCACCCAAUGCAGUUGCGAGGACUCCUGCUGCGCUUCCGCGGCGUUCCUGGUUGGGGGCAAGUUUGCGUCGGCGCCGCCACACUGCACUGUUUCCCGACGAGCGACUUUCCUCUACGCUUGUGGCUGCACUGCCAGAAUCUAAACAUGGUUGGCCGCGGGUCGAUAGACACGGCUGAGCAAGUCGCCAUGUGGCGCUUCGCCGAAGAAGACGGGCCAGUCAUUAUUCAAGGCUUCCGGCAAGUCCAUGAGCAGUCCGUGAACGACAGGCGACGUGGCGGGCGUCUUCCGCUCUCUCGGUGCUUCCACGUCGCGCCGUUUUACGGGCUCGAGCACGAAAGCCCACAAGCGCCCGGACCUUUCGCCGUUAAGAGUGUCCCGACCUGCAGCGCCGCUUCCCUGCUCGACGCUGGAGCGCCGCACGCAGCCGCGCGGCGUCGAGGAACUGCAGCGGCCGAGUCUCGGCGACGCGGCCGCGCACAAAGCACCGCGACGCGAGGAGAACGCGCGCCCGUGGAACGGCCGCGCUUGUUGUUCUCGGUGAUGUCGCCUUUCGGUGCCGCCACUUCUGGCGGCUCAAGUUCGAGCGCUUUCUUAGCGAUUUUAGUGCAUUUUUAAUUAAAUAAGGAUUCCACUGUC